CUGGAAGGAAGAGGAGCAGGUGGAGGAGCUUCAGCCUGGAUGGCCUGCCUGCACCACCUUCCCUCCAUUCUGGCCACCUUCACCCAUCCAUUCAUGCUUGGCACCCACCUCCCUCAACCCAUUUCCAACACUUUUCCUUCAACACCUGAGAGAUGACUCGAGUUAUUACAAAGCGCCACUCUAUUCUAGGGCUAGAAGCCAGCUCCCUGUGAGGGUCUAGAGAUGAGCUUGGACAAGGGUGUUGAACCCAACACUCACCCAGAGAAAGCCUACAUGUUUUUGAUCAGGGAAACCCAGACCAGGUGGUGAAGUGGCUGAGUCAGACUUGGGACCCAGUGUUUUAAAAACAGUGGAGUGAGAAAGCCUGACUUUUUUUGUUUUUUUAAGACGGAGUCUCACUCUGUGGCCCAGACUGGAGUGCAGUGGCACGAUUUUGGCUCACUGCAACCUCCACCUCCGAGUUCAAGCAAUUUUCCCUGCCUUAGACUCCCGAGUAGAUGGGAUUACAGGCACCCACCACCACACUCGGCUAAUUUGUGUAUUUGUUAGUAGAGACGGGGUUUCACCAUGUUGGUCAGGCUGGUCUUGAACUCCUGACCUCAGGAGAUCUGUCCGCCUUGGCCUCCCAAAGUGCUGGGAUUACAGGCGUGAGCCAUUGCACCCGGCCAAGCCUGACUUUAGAACUGGCUAGGAUCUGCCUUCUGUUUGUAGCUGAGGGACCCUAGGCAGGAAAGCAGGAAAUCUCCCACGCUGGGCCUCAGUUUCUCCUCUACGAAGUGGGCAUAAUGAUAGCUCAUCAGGCUGUUUCGAGAUGAAAAGAGACAUGCCCUAUUUAGCACACGGUGAGACCCCUAUUCUUAUUCCUCUUUGCAGGAGACGGCUGCUGCUGUUCCAGUCUCUCCUUAGGCAGACUUGAGUUUCUACCCACUCUUCCCAAGCAGCCGCCCCUCCGCACCCGAGCGAGCCAAAGACCUGGCGGGCUGAGUACUCACUGCGCGCUGGACACAUGCUGAGCCGGCACUGCAGGGACACAGGGCGAGCCGCUGGAUGCAGACCUGUGGCCGCGGCAGUUGGGCUUAUCUUGCCCAUGAAGUUGCCUCUGAAGAACCAAGUCCAACUGUGUAUGCUGAGAGAUGUCUGGCUACUUCCUGAUUGACAGUUCUGGCAAGGUGGCAUUGGGCCCUGGCUUUUCCUCUGGAGGCAUCAUCACUUAUAGGAAAAUGUCCCCUGAAGUCCAAGGAUCAAAGCUGCUGGAACACUGAGAAGCUGAACAAAGGAGAACUGUUUCUCAUCAAACCCAGACUUCCAGACUUCCAAUAGGGUAGAAUGAGCAAGUCAGCAAAUCAUCUUCCUUGGAAACAGUGAUAAAACUAGAUGACAUUGUCAACAACAGCCAUUUCAGAAAUCUAGAAAAUGACCAAAGGCAAACAACAAACUGAGAAGCAUUUUUUUUUCCAUGAAAAAUCGCUCUAUUUCUGCAAAAAUAGUGGGAGUCUAUGGCUUCUCAUCCAGGGCUGUUUCUCUCCCCACCCCAGCUCAGUCAGUACAAAGGUUCUGGCAGCAUGAGGCAGACUGAACAGACCUGAAGUUUGAUUGCUGGAAGAAACUGACUCCAGGUUUGGCAGAGGGUGAGAAACCUACUCCCAGCCAUGUUGUCUGGUGACACAGUGACCUUAGGGACAAGUGAAUAGGGAAGGCCAGUGAUUCAUUAACCUGAGGUUGCAGUCCUGGUUGGGGAAAGCAUCAGAAUGGCAGAUAAGCUAGAAAUUUAGUAGGGAUAUGCUGGAAAUGAGACAACCCCAAAGGGGCUUGACCCCAAAGUUGUCCACACACCCCAGCUGCCUUCUGAGCAGAUGUAGGGAGAGACCAGAGAAGGCCUAGGCUAUCCACACAUCUCUGGCUAACCCAGGCUGUAAACCUGUGGAGGAGACACAAGAGGUGGAUUGAUUGCUAAUGGGCAUAUGGGGGAUCUUACUGGUUGAUAGGAACAUUCUCAAAUUGGAUUGUGGUGAUGCUUGCACAACUCUAAGUUUAUCCCAAAUUGCUAAAUUUUACACUAAAAAGGGGUGAACUUUAGGGUAUAUAAAUUAUACAUCAAUAAAGUUGUCAUAAAGCAUUCACAUUCUAAUAAAUGGCUCUAAGAAAUAUUGUUUUGAAAAUUUUCCUUUGGUAUAUUAUGGCACUCCAAAAUCAACUUCUGUCAGAACAAUAAUUAACUAUUUCUGAUUAUAGAUAUUGGUCAUCUACAAUGAUUUAUUCAGUCUUUUAUGUCCCGCAUAAGGGCUUAGAAUGCUUUAAAUUUCUAAGACCAUCAAUAGCCAGGACUCACCUGAAAACUAUAUAUAUUUUUAAAAAGACGUAUGCUCUGGGACACCAUAUGCUAACAUUUGUUGAGCACACAGUUUGCUACAGAGGUUAAGAGGUGUACUAUUUAAAUCUAACUUCCUCAAGGGGCUCACACUAUUACAAUAGUAAGCUAAAGAGAUAGAAGAAAAGUUUAUAUAUAAAAUCUCAGUACAGGGAUGGGGUUGGUAACAAAUAAGAUGCUGCCACUUACACUUGAUAAAUUAUAAAAUAUCUAUUGCAUUCAUUAUUGGAGGCUGACCCUUAUAAAAACCUUGUGGGUACUGCAAAAGACAGGGAAACCGAGGCUCAGAGUGGUUCAGCAACUUGUGUGAGGUCACAUACCUCAUGUCAAAGCUGAGAUUUAAAUGUGUGUGGCUAGGCUGGACAUGGUGGCUCACACCUGUAAUCCUAGCACCCUGGGAGGCUGAGGUGGAACACACUCCUUGUUUGUGUCCAGGAGUUCAAGACCAGCCUGGACAACAUAAUGAGACCUCAUCUCUACAAAAAAUAAAAAAUUAGCUGGGUGUGGGGCCACGCACCCCAAGGUUCUCAGGAGGCUGAGGCAGGAGGACUGCUUGAAAUCAGGAGGUUGAGCCUGCAGUGAGCUGUGAUCAUGCCACUGCACUCUGCCUGGGUGACAGAGUGAGACCCUGUCUCAAAAAAAUAAAAAUAAAAACAAAUAAAUGUGUGUGGCUGAUUCUCAUGCAAAUAUUGGUGAAGAUCUGGUAGUGAUGUAAAUUGGUAGAACCUCAGUGGGAGAUAACUUUGCAAUAGCUAUCAAAUGAAAACUGUGUAUAUUCUUUGUUUCAGGAAUUUCACUUCUAAGAUGUUUUUAAUAUAGCAGAAAUGGUUAUCCAUAAAGAAUUAGUUCAAUACAUUUUAUCUGUAAAAUGGAAUGCAAUGCGGCCAUUAAAAAGGAGGCAUAUCUGAGUAUACUAAUAUAGAAUGGUCUGCAAGAUAUAUUAACUUUUUUACAAAAGCUGUUCCCCACACUUCUUCGUGUUGUUUGAAAAGACGUGAAGGCUCAGACAGGCCUUCAUUGUGACUUGCCCAGGAUGAGUAGCAGGGCUGGAAUUCCUACUCAGGAGUCCAGAUUUAUAGGCUUCCUCUUUGCUUUAUCCUAUUUCAUAGCUGUCUCUGUUGCCAGAGCCAUGGAAGG
rnacentral:lncRNA from 10 species